rnacentral:rRNA from 1 species
UACGAAGGGGGCUAGCGUUGCUCGGAAUCACUGGGCGUAAAGCGCACGUAGGCGGAUUGCUAAGUCAGGGGUGAAAUCCUGGAGCUCAACUCCAGAACUGCCUUUGAUACUGAGGAUCUUGAGUUCGGGAGAGGUGAGUGGAACUGCGAGUGUAGAGGUGAAAAUUCGUAGAUAUUCGCAAGAACACCAGUGGCGAAGGCGGCUCACUGGCCCGAUACUGACGCUGAGGCACGAAAGCGUGGGGAGCAAACAGG